rnacentral:rRNA from 1 species
AGCAGCCGCGGUAAUUCCAGCUCCAAUAGCGUAUAUUAAAGUUGUUGCAGUUAAAAAGCUCGUAGUUGAAUUUCGGGAUCAAUAUGUUGGUCGUGCCUUGGUACGUACUGGCAUUAUUGGUUUCUACCUUCUGAAGAACCUCGAUGUCAUUAAUUUGGUGUCUUGGGGAAUCAGGACUGUUACUUUGAAAAAUUAGAGUGUUUAAAGCAGGCUCGCGCUUGAAUACAUUAGCAUGGAAUAAUGAAAUAGGACGUUUGAUUCUAUUUUGUUGGUUUCUAGGAUUGACGUAAUGAUUAAUAGGGAUAGUU